GGUGAGGUGGCCGAGUGGUUAAGGCGCUGUGUUUAGGUAUACCAGUACCCCAAACGAAAGUUUCCGCAGUGGGAAACCGCGUGGGUUCGAAUCCCACCCUCAUCA